AGGGUUUGAUUAUGGCUCAGGACGAACGCUGGCGGUGCGCCUUAUGCAUGCAAGUCGAGCGAAGCUUUUCAGUAGUUUACUACAGAAAAUGACUGAGCGGCGAACGGGUGAGUAACGCGUGAGUAAUCUACCUUAGUUACUGGAAUAGCCCGAGGAAACUCGGAUUAAUACCGGAUAAUCUUAUUACAUCACAUGAUAUUUUAAGUAAAGGUCAGCCGAACUAAGAUGAGCUCGCGUUCUAUCAGCUUGUUGGUGGGGUAAAAGCCUACCAAGGCUACGACGGAUAGCUGGUCUGAGAGGACGAUCAGCCACACUGGGACUGAGACACGGCCCAGACUCCUACGGGAGGCUGCAGCAGGGAAUAUUGUGCAAUGAGCGAAAGCUUGACACAGCGACACCGCGUGUGGGAUGACGGUUCUAGGAUUGUAAACCACUUUCAGGAGGGAAGAAAAUGACGGUACCUCCACAAGAAGCCCCGGCCAACUACGUGCCAGCAGCCGCGGUAAUA
rnacentral:rRNA from 1 species